GUAAACAACAUGGCGUUUGUGCGCGGCGUAAAGACUAAAACAGUUGUUUGGAACAACUUAAAACAACAAGUCCGUUUGCGUGUUGUGCUGUGCUGGUAUUUUUAUUUUUUUAUAUAGGAAUGUAGGGCUUAUGUUACUCUAACAUGUGACAUUGGCAGUGAAACGUUUGUACAAUUUAAAGCUGCAGCUUAUGAAUUAAAAUGAUCAGAAGAAGAAGGGGAGAGUGCGAGAUAAGACUAGUCAACAUAUUGACCAAUCGGGAGUCAUGGGGUAAGGCAGCUUAUUAGAGAUAGGAUUAAUAGUAAUCUUUUUGAACUAGUUUCUCAAUUGUGAGAAGAAUAGCUUAUGUUGUCUAAUUGUGUCUGAGCCAGACACAGACACGGACACAGACACAGAAGAGAAUGCGGACUGGAGUCAACAUAAACACGUCAAUGAGCUGUAUGGUGCCUUGACUUUCUUCAUUUCACAGAGCGUGAUAGUAAACACAUUCUGCCAAAUGAAAUAAGUUUAUUGUAGCUGCAUGCAUGAAUAUAACCUUUUACAUUGUAAUAGAAACUGUGAAGUUGUUAAACUAAUAAAGCAGUUAUCUAUGCAGUACAUACUGACACAAUGUAUAGUUGCGUUAUGAAACUGAUUCUAUAGUCAGAGAAAGUGAUGCAUUAACAGGUAUAAUUUAGAAUACAAUAUGCUUUGUAAAUCUGUCUAAAAUAUGUGACUUACAAUGUAUGUAAACUUAGAGUUUAUCGAUUUUUGAAAUGGCAGAGGUACUGUGAGGCUUUGAUUGUAAAAGUACAUACUUCACACUUUAUUUACUGAUGCUAUAAACUGCCCCUCCCCAAUCCCACCCACCACACGUUAUUAUUAUACCAUUUAUUUCUAUCACAAACGAGUAUAAUGUACAGUAUAUUACAAGAUGUGUGUGAAGUAAUCGAACAAAAUAACCACAGUAGAACAAUGUGACAAGUUAUUGUUGUUGUAUAUUUCAUUUUAUGCCUUAUUGCUAUUGUUAUUUAUUUUGCGAUUUCUGAAAACAAUUAGCAGAGAGUUUAUUAGUUAUGAAAAUAUGGAUAUUAACUUUUCUGUUGUUUUGAACUUAUUUUUUUGUGCAGGAUGGAUAGUUGUUGCACCAUUAAUCUACCCACAAUAUAAUAUUUGUUGUAUUACUGUAUAAGUGAUAUUCUUCUGAUUUUUUUUAUAGAGAAACUUAUAUUGUUGUGAUACCAUUUAUUUAAUGUGCAGGCUCUGUGUUUGUAUCUGCUAUUUAAUUUGUCAUUCAUUGUUCUAUGAAAAAUUUUAUUACCUGUGCCAUUAGCAAAUAAAGUGCUGAGGAAGAUAGUCAGGUAUUGCCUCUUCAUCAAACGGGUGCUGCCCUAUUGCAUAUGUCUCGAUGACACUGACAGAGUUAUUCUGCUAGUGUAAAUCUAUGAUACUGGCACUGUCAUUCGGCUAUGGUAUCGCCAUGGAACCUCUUCUGGGUGUGGAAGAUACUUUUCAUAUAGAAUGUUUUAUGUGAUAAAUUAAAGGUUGAGAAUGAAAAGACAUACAGUAUGAAAAAUUUGGUUGCAAAAUAGAUUGUGGUAUCUCUGCCCAAGUACAUACAGGUGCAUUAUUUGAUUGUUUAUUUUUUGAAAUUCAAGCUAUUCUUAUUGUUCCAAAAGUAUGACACAAUAUGAAACUGACUAGAGUGGGAUGCUGCUGAAUUUGUAAUUCAGAUGAGAUUAUACAUGUUCAAAAGACAACACACUCAGUCGAAACUGCAAUAAAUCUUUUAUCAUCAACUGAUUUUUAUUUACUACUGUCAUCAUGAGCAUUUAAAAUGUGACACAGUGUAUUUUGAAUUCAACAAUUGUAUAUGGCCACAGGUUUAAUGAGGACAGUAUUUGUCUGCAUUUAGACUUUUCACUAAACUUUAAAUUGAAUUUUUGUCUGUUCAUCAGCUUGCUGUGCAUCAUUUGAGGUUGAUUGUGUUUUUCCAGAUAUGAUGAUUGUGAUAAUC